UACGGAGGGUGCGAGCGUUGUCCGGAAUCACUGGGCGUAAAGGGCGCGUAGGCGGUCUUGCAAGUCCUGUGUGAAAUCCCUCGGCUCAACUGAGGAACUGCACAGGAAACUGCUUGGCUUGAGUUCGGGAGAGGGAAGCGGAAUUCCGGGUGUAGCGGUGAAAUGCGUAGAUAUCCGGAGGAACACCGGUGGCGAAGGCGGCUUCCUGGACCGACACUGACGCUGAGGCGCGAAAGCUAGGGGAGCAAACGGG
rnacentral:rRNA from 1 species